rnacentral:misc_RNA from 1 species
GAUGAAGAACGUAGCAAAAUGCGAUACUUGGUGUGAAUUGCAGAAUCCCGUGAACCAUCGAGUUUUCGAACGCAAGUUGCGCCCGAAGCCUUUUGGCCGAGGGCACGUCUGCCUGGGCGUCACGCAUCGCGUCGCCCCCCACAAUUCUCCGUAAAGGGAACAUGUGUUUUGGGGGCGGAUAUUGGUCUCCCGUGCUCAUGGCGUGGUUGGCCGAAAUAGGAGUCCUUUCGAUGGACGCACGAACUAGUGGUGGUCGUAAAAACCCUCGUCUUUUGUUUCGUGCUGUUGCUCGCAAGGUAAACUCUUUAAAAACCCCAAUGUGUCGUCUCUUGACGACGCUUCGACCGCGACCCCAGGUCAGGCGGGACUACCCGCUGAGUUUAAGCAUAUCAAUAAGCGGAGGA